CAGCCGCCGCGGGAAUACGUAGGUGGCAAGCGUUGUCCGGAAUUAUUGGGCGUAAAGGGCUCGCAGACGGUUUCUUAAGUCUGAUGUGAAAGCCCCCGGCUCAACCGGGGAGGGUCAUUGGAAACUGGGAAACUUGAGUGCAGAAGAGGAGAGUGGAAUUCCACGUGUAGCGGUGAAAUGCGUAGAGAUGUGGAGGAACACCAGUGGCGAAGGCGACUCUCUGGUCUGUAACUGACGCUGAGGAGCGAAAGCGUGGGGAGCGAACAGGAUUAGAUACCCGCGUAGUCCCUGUCUCUUAUAC
rnacentral:rRNA from 1 species